rnacentral:pre_miRNA from 1 species
UUUUGCUCAUUCCCUUAAUUCAGCGUGAGUUCACGCUUGACAUUUGUCAACGUCAAUAAACUUAUGCUGGCACUUUUAAGAUCGGCUCAAUCACUUUUUAAGCUGGUUCAACCAAUCUUAAAAAUGUAUGUGUGAGUUAACUCACGCUGAAAAAUGCCGAACGUGAGUUAACUCAUGCUGAAUUAAGAGAAUGAGCAAUU